rnacentral:rRNA from 1 species
AACAGGAUUAGAUACCCUGGUAGUCCAUGCCGUAAACGAUGAGUGCUAGGUGUUGGAGGGUUUCCGCCCUUCAGUGCCGGAGCUAACGCAUUAAGCACUCCGCCUGGGGAGUACGACCGCAAGGUUGAAACUCAAAGGAAUUGACGGGGGCCCGCACAAGCGGUGGAGCAUGUGGUUUAAUUCGAAGCUACGCGAAGAACCUUACCAGGUCUUGACAUCUUGCGCCAACCCUAGAGAUAGGGCGUUUCCUUCGGGAACGCAAUGACAGGUGGUGCAUGGUCGUCGUCAGCUCGUGUCGUGAGAUGUUGGGUUAAGUCCCGCAACGAGCGCAACCCUUGUUACUAGUUGCCAGCAUUAAGUUGGGCACUCUAGUGAGACUGCCGGUGACAAACCGGAGGAAGGUGGGGACGACGUCAGAUCAUCAUGCCCCUUAUGACCUGGGCUACACACGUGCUACAAUGGACGGUACAACGAGUCGCGAACUCGCGAGGGCAAGCAAAUCUCUUAAAACCGUUCUCAGUUCGGACUGCAGCCUGCAACUCGCCUGCACGAAGUCGGAAUCGCUAGUAAUCGCGGAUCAGCAUGCCGCGGUGAAUACGUUCCCGGGCCUUGUACACACCGCCCGCCACACCAUGAGAGUUUGUAACACCCAAAGUCGGUGGGGUAACCUUUUAGGAGCCAGCCGCCUAAGGUGGGACAGAUGAUUAGGGUGAAGUCGUAACAAGGUAACC